AGAGUUUGAUCCUGGCUCAGAGCGAACGCUGGCGGCGUGCUUAACACAUGCAAGUCGAACGCGCAGCAUUCUGUAGCAAUACAGGAUGUGGGCGCGUGGCGGACGGGUGCGUAACACGUGGAUAACCUUCCUUGAGGUGGGGAAUAACCCAGUGAAAAUUGGGCUAAUACCGCAUAACAUCGCGAUGGCACAUGCUGAUGCGAUCAAAGGCGCAAGUCGCCACAAGAGGGAUCCGCGGCCGAUUAGCUUGUUGGCGAGGUAAUGGCUCACCAAGGCAAUGAUCGGUAGCCGGACUGAGAGGUUGGCCGGCCACACUGGAACUGAGACACGGUCCAGACUCCUACGGGAGGCAGCAGUGGGGAAUCUUGCACAAUGGACGAAAGUCUGAUGCAGCAACGCCGCGUGGGGGAUGAAGCUUCUCGGAGUGUAAACCCCUUUCGACCCGGAAGAAUGCCCGCAAGGGUAUGACGGUACGGGUAUAAGAAGCCCCGGCUAACUACGUGCCAGCAGCCGCGGUAAUACGUAGGGGGCCAGCGUUGCUCGGAAUUACUGGGCGUAAAGGGUCCGUAGGCGGUGUAGCAAGUCGAUAGUGAAAUCUCUGCGCUUAACGCAGAGGCUGCUAACGAAACUGCUGUGCUAGAGUGUGAGAGAGGCGAGUGGAAUUACGGGUGUAGCGGUGAAAUGCGUAGAUAUCCGUAGGAACAUCCGAGGCGAAAGCGGCUCGCUGGAUCACAACUGACGCUGAGGGACGAAAGCUAGGGGAGCAAACAGGAUUAGAUACCCUGAUAGUCCUAGCCCUAAACCAUCAGACUUGGGGUUUGCCCUGUACGGGGCAAGUCCCGUAGCUAACGCGUUAAGUCCUGCGCCUGGGGAGUACGGUCGCAAGGCUGAAACUCAAGGAAUUGACGGGGGCCCGCACAGGCGGUGGAACAUGUGGUUCAAUUCGACGCAACGC
rnacentral:rRNA from 1 species